UUAAGGGUGCUUGAUCAAUGGGCUCCGGACCUGAUCUAAUCAAAUCCGAUUUAGCAACUUGCAUCAGAUUUUUCUCCUAUCAAAUUUCGUCAAGUUCGACCUUAGAGGCAGCAGUCUCUUCACCAAGAAACUUCCUUUCCAAAAAGAUUGCCUUAAAGCUGACAAACACUUUUUGCUUAUCAGCUAGGUAGAAGUAAUACCCUUUGGUCUCUUUUGGGUACCC
rnacentral:lncRNA from 1 species